rnacentral:lncRNA from 1 species
CGCUCUAGCGGUUACCGCUGCGGGCUGGCUGGGCGUAGUGGGGCUGCGCGGCUGCCACGGAGCUAGAGGGCAAGUGUGCUCGGCCCAGCGUGCAGGGAACGCGGGCGGCCAGACAACGGGCUGGGCUCCGGGGCCUGCGGCGCGGGCGCUGAGCUGGCAGGGCGGGUCGGGGCGCGGGCUGCAUCCGCAUCUCCUCCAUCGCCUGCAGUAAGGGCGGCCGCGGCGAGCCUUUGAGGGGAACGACUUGUCGGAGCCCUAACCAGGGGUAUCUCUGAGCCUGGUGGGAUCCCCGGAGCGUCACAUCACUUUCCGAUCACUUCAAAGUAGAUGGGGUUUCACCAUCUUGGACAGGCUGGUCUCGAACUCCUGACCUCUUGAUCCACCUGCCUUGGCCUCCCAAAGUGCUGGGAUUACAGACGUGAGCCACGGCGCCCUGAUGUAUAUGAGAAGAAGUUCACUGACACGUUGUACUUCAUAUAUACUGCUUUGGAAAGGGUUAAAAACUAAUAUUUAUAUGACAGAAGAAAAAGAUGUCAUUCCGUAAAGUAAACAUCAUCAUCUUGGUCCUGGCUGUUGCUCUCUUCUUACUGGUUUUGCACCAUAACUUCCUCAGCUUGAGCAG